rnacentral:rRNA from 1 species
GAGUUUGAUCGUGGCUCAGGAUGAACGCCGGCGGUGUGCCUAAUACAUGCAAGUCGUACGCACUGGCCCAACUGAUUGAUGGUGCUUGCACCUGAUUGACGAUGGAUCACCAGUGAGUGGCGGACGGGUGAGUAACACGUAGGUAACCUGCCCCGGAGCGGGGAUAACAUUUGGAAACAGAUGCUAAUACCGCAUAACAACAAAGGCCACAUGGCUUUUGUUUGAAAGAUGGCUUUGGCCAUCACUCUGGGAUGGACCUGCGGUGCAUUAGCUAGUUGGUAAGGUAACGGCUUACCAAGGCGAUGAUGCAUAGCCGAGUUGAGAGACUGAUCGGCCACAAUGGAACUGAGACACGGUCCAUACUCCUACGGGAGGCAGCAGUAGGGAAUCUUCCACAAUGGGCGCAAGCCUGAUGGAGCAACACCGCGUGAGUGAAGAAGGGUUUCGGCUCGUAAAGCUCUGUUGUUGGAGAAGAACGUGCGUGAGAGU